CCGAGUUUACAACUCCCAAACCCCUGUGAACAUACCUACUUGUUGCCUCGGCGGAUCACCCCAACUCCCGUACGGGGACGGGCCCGCCAGAGGACCCCUAAACCAACUGUUUUUCGUAUAUGUAAACUAUUCUGAGUGAAACCAUAAAUAAAUCA
rnacentral:misc_RNA from 1 species